UAGGGAAUCUUCCGCAAUGGACGCAAGUCUGACGGAGCAACGCCGCGUGAGUGAAGAAGGAUUUCGGUUCGUAAAACUCUGUUGUUAGAGAAGAACAGCGCAUAGAGUAACUGUUAUGCGUGUGACGGUAUCUAACCAGAAAGCCACGGCUAACUACGUGCCAGCAGCCGCGGUAAUACGUAGGUGGCAAGCGUUGUCCGGAUUUAUUGGGCGUAAAGCGAGCGCAGGCGGUCAAUUAAGUCUGAUGUGAAAGCCCCCGGCUCAACCGGGGAGGGUCAUUGGAACCUGGUUGACUUGAGUGCAGAAGAGGAGAGUGGAAUUCCAUGUGUAGCGGUGAAAUGCGUAGAUAUAUGGAGGAACACCAGUGGCGAAGGCGACUCUCUGGUCUGUAACUGACGCGGAGGUUCGAAAGCGUGGGUAGCAAACAGG
rnacentral:rRNA from 1 species